rnacentral:other from 1 species
CCAUCUCUAGGAUGCAUGCCAACCUAUCGCGUCCCCUGAGCCGAUAUCAUCUCCAUGGGAAGCGGUACUGAUGUGGUUGUGAGCCGUCUGUCGCAGCGUCCGGUUCGUCCGGGGCCCGCAGAAAGCCUGAUACCGCAUACUGGCUUCCCCCUUGAACCUUUGGGUUCAAGGGUCAAGAUGGGUAGCGGCAUUCUGGAGCCUGA